rnacentral:rRNA from 1 species
GACGAACGCUGGCGGCGUGCCUAAUACAUGCAAGUCGAGCGAAUCAAUAGGAGCUUGCUCCUGUUGGUUAGCGGCGGACGGGUGAGUAACACGUGGGCAACCUGCCUGUAAGACUGGGAUAACACCGGGAAACCGGUGCUAAUACCGGAUAAUCCUUUUCCUCUCAUGAGGAAAAGCUGAAAGACGGUUUCGGCUGUCACUUACAGAUGGGCCCGCGGCGCAUUAGCUAGUUGGUGAGGUAACGGCUCACCAAGGCGGCGAUGCGUAGCCGACCUGAGGGGGUGAUCGGCCACACUGGGACUGAGACACGGCCCAGACUCCUACGGGAGGCAGCAGUAGGGAAUCUUCCACAAUGGACGAAAGUCUGAUGGAGCAACGCCGCGUGAGUGAUGAAGGCCUUCGGGUCGUAAAGCUCUGUUGUUAGGGAAGAACAAGUACCGGAGUAACUGCCGGUACCUUGACGGUACCUAACCAGAAAGCCACGGCUAACUACGUGCCAGCCGCCGCGGUAA